rnacentral:rRNA from 1 species
AAUGAACGCUGGCGGCAGGCCUAACACAUGCAAGUCGAACGGAUCCUUCGGGAUUAGUGGCGGACGGGUGAGUAACGCGUGGGAACAUACCCAAAGGUACGGAAUAGCCUCGGGAAACUGGGAGUAAUACCGUAUGUGCUCGAAAGAGGAAAGAUUUAUCGCCUUUGGAUUGGCCCGCGUUGGAUUAGGUAGUUGGUGGGGUAAUGGCCUACCAAGCCGACGAUCCAUAGCUGGUUUGAGAGGAUGAUCAGCCACACUGGGACUGAGACACGGCCCAGACUCCUACGGGAGGCAGCAGUGGGGAAUCUUAAACAAUGGGGGAAACCCUGAUCUAGCCAUGCCGCGUGAUCGAUGAAGGCCUUAGGGUUGUAAAGAUCUUUCAGGUGGGGAGAUAAUGACUGUACCACCAGAAGAAGCCCCGGCUAACUCCGUGCCAGCAGCCGCCGUAA